UAAAUUUAAUAAAUAAAUUUACUUCCGAAUCCACCUUCAAACCAGAAUCAAAAAUAGUUAUUCGUAUAAAUAAAAUUAUUGUAACCCAUUUCUACUUAAACAUUAGCUUCACCUUGACCUGACAUUUUUAUAUUAAAUAAUUAAGAAAAUUUAUUCUAAAAAAAUAUUCUUAUGACAGAGGUAUAAAAACUGAAAACAAAUAUAAGUAAGUUAAAUCGUGGACUAUCGAUUAAAGAACAGGUUCCACAGAAAAGACUAAAAUACCGCCAAAUUCUUUGGGUUUCAAGAAUUUAACUAAUACUACCCAAGCAAAAAAAAUUAACAUUUAGU
rnacentral:rRNA from 1 species